GGAUGAACGCUGGCGGCGUGCUUACCACAUGCAAGUCGAACGAUGAAGCCCAGCUUGCUGGGUGGAUUAGUGGCGAACGGGUGAGUAACACGUGAGUAACCUGCCCUUAACUCUGGGAUAAGCCUGGGAAACUGGGUCUAAUACCGGAUAGGAGCGCCUACCGCAUGGUGGGUGUUGGAAAGAUUUAUCGGUUUUGGAUGGACUCGCGGCCUAUCAGCUUGUUGGUGAGGUAAUGGCUCACCAAGGCGACGACGGGUAGCCGGCCUGAGAGGGUGACCGGCCACACUGGGACUGAGACACGGCCCAGACUCCUACGGGAGGCAGCAGUGGGGAAUAUUGCACAAUGGGCGAAAGCCUGAUGCAGCGACGCCGCGUGAGGGAUGACGGCCUUCGGGUUGUAAACCUCUUUCAGUAGGGAAGAAGCGAAAGUGACGGUACCUGCAGAAGAAGCACCGGCUAACUACGUG
rnacentral:rRNA from 1 species